rnacentral:rRNA from 1 species
AUACGUAGGUGGCAAGCGUUGUCCGGAUUUACUGGGCGUAAAGGAUGCGUAGGCGGAUUUUUAAGUGAGAUGUGAAAUUCCCGGGCUUAACUUGGGAGCUGCAUUUCAAACUGGAAGUCUAGAGUGCGGGAGAGGAAAGUGGAAUUCCUAGUGUAGCGGUGAAAUGCGUAGAGAUUAGGAAGAACACCAGUGGCGAAGGCGACUUUCUGGACCGUAACUGACGCUGAGGCAUGAAAGCGUGGGUAGCAAACAGGAUUAGAUACCCUGGUAGUCCACGCCGUAAACGAUGAGUACUAGGUGUAGGAGGUAUCGACCCCUUCUGUGCCGCAGUUAACACAAUAAGUACUCCGCCUGGGAAGUACGAUCGCAAGAUUAAA